CGUGCAUUUAUCAGACCAAAACCCGGCCGCGUCUUCGGGCGCGUUCGCCUUGGUGACUCUGGAUAACUUUGCGGAUCGCACGGUCUAGCACCGGCGACGGAUCAUUCAAGUGUCUGCCCUAUCAACUUUCGUCAGUACGGUAUUUGCCUACCGAGGUUCUUACGGGUGACGGGGAAUCAGGGUUCGAUUCCGGAGAGGGAGCCUGAGAAACGGCUACCACAUCCAAGGAAGGCAGCAGGCGCGCAAAUUACCCAUUCCCGACGCGGGGAGGUAGUGACGAAAAAUAACAAUGCAGGACUCGUUCGAGGCCCUGUAAUUGGAAUGAGUACACUUUAAAAGCUUUAACGAGUAUCCAUUGGAGGGCAAGUCUGGUGCCAGCAGCCGCGGUAAUUCCAGCUCCAAAAGUAUAUAUUUAAGUUGUUGCGGUUAAAAAGCUCGUAGUUGGAUUUUGGGCGCAGGCGGCCGGUCCGUCGCAAGGCGUGUACUGGACGUCCUGGCCUUCCCUCCGGUUCUCCGCCGGUGCUCUUGACUGAGUGUCGGCGGCGGCCGGAACGUUUACUUUGAAAAAAUUAGAGUGUUCAAAGCAGGCUCUCGAGCCUGGAUAAUGGUGCAUGGAAUAAUGGAAUAGGACCUCGGUUCUAUUUUGUUGGUUUUCGGAGCGCGAGGUAAUGAUUAAGAGGGACAGACGGGGGCAUUCGUACUGUGCCGUUAGAGGUGAAAUUCUUGGAUCGGCGCAAGACGAACGACUGCGAAAGCUUUGCCAAGAAUGUUU
rnacentral:ncRNA from 1 species